UACGGAGGGUGCAAGCGUUGUCCGGAUUUAUUGGGUUUAAAGGGUGCGUAGGCGGCUCUUUAAGUCAGUGGUGAAAUACUGCAGCUCAACUGUAGCAUUGCCAUUGAUACUGAAGAGCUUGAGUACAGAUGAGGUAGGCGGAAUUUAUGGUGUAGCGGUGAAAUGCAUAGAUACCAUAAAGAACACCGAUUGCGAAGGCAGCUUACUAAGCUGUAACUGACGCUGAGGCACGAAAAGCGUGGGGAGCGAACAGG
rnacentral:rRNA from 1 species